GGGGGUGUAGCUCAGCUGGUUAGAGCGCCGGCCUGUCACGCCGGAGGUCGCGGGUUCGAGCCCCGUCACUCCCGCCA
rnacentral:tRNA from 3 species